AAAGCGAGCGCAGGCCGUUUUUUAAGUCUGAUGUGAAAGCCCUCGGCUUAACCGAGGAAGCGCAUCGGAAAACUGGGAAACUUGAGUGCAGAAGAGGACAGUGGAACUCCAUGUGUAGCGGUGAAAUGCGUAGAUAUAUGGAAGAACACCAGUGGCGAAGGCGGCUGUCUGGUCUGUAACUGACGCUGAGGCUCGAAAGCAUGGGUAGCGAACAGGAUUAGAUACCCUGGUAGUCCAUGCCGUAAACGAUGAAUGCUAGGUGUUGGAGGGUUUCCGCCCUUCAGUGCCGCAGCUAACGCAUUAAGCAUUCCGCCUGGGGAGUACGACCGCAAGGUUGAAACUCAAAGGAAUUGACGGGGGCCCGCACAAGCGGUGGAGCAUGUGGUUUAAUUCGAAGCAACGCGAAGAACCUUACCAGGUCUUGACAUCUUUUGAUCACCUGAGAGAUCAGGUUUCCCCUUCGGGGGCAAAAUGACAGGUGGUGCAUGGUUGUCGUCAGCUCGUGUCGUGAGAUGUUGGGUUAAGUCCCGCAACGAGCGCAACCCUUAUGACUAGUUGCCAGCAUUUAGUUGGGCACUCUAGUAAGACUGCCGGUGACAAACCGGAGGAAGGUGGGGAUGACGUCAAAUCAUCAUGCCCCUUAUGACCUGGGCUACACACGUGCUACAAUGGAUGGUACAACGAGUUGCGAGACCGCGAGGUCAAGCUAAUCUCUUAAAGCCAUUCUCAGUUCGGACUGUAGGCUGCAACUCGCCUACACGAAGUCGGAAUCGCUAGUAAUCGCGGAUCAGCACGCCGCGGUGAAUACGUUCCCGGGCCUUGUACACACCGCCCGUCACACCAUGAGAGUUUGUAACACCCGAAGCCGGUGGCGUAACUGAGUUAGGGAUCCAGCCCUCUAAGGUGGGACAACCGAGUAGGGACAAUUAAUUAC
rnacentral:rRNA from 2 species